GCCUAGUUAGCUUGGAGGGUAGUGCAUCUGCCUUGUAAGCGCUAGGCCGCGGGUUCGAUUCCCGCCCGGGGCG
rnacentral:tRNA from 1 species